AUUCCAGUCUCCUUGAGAGUGACGAAGCCACACCCCAAGGUGUCCCUCCCUUCCCAGAACCUACUGGAAUUAAAAGGGGCCGCCGCGAUACAAGGUUUCGAAAGAAGAGCUCACAGGAUCCUUGGAAGAAACAACUUGUGAGUUACAACUACUUAGUUAUGAUCAACAAGUGAGCCCCUGCAGACCUCACUGCCUUAAAUAUCAAUACCUCACGGAAUCAUCUAGAAAAUCAACUCGGAGAGACAAUGGUUAAGGGAAAAAUUAGAACUUUACAAAUGGGCAGCUCUGUUUCUCAUGCCUGUGAGUCCAAACUUACCAAUCGUCCCUGUGACAAAAAACCAAGAAACCCAAGGUCAUAAAAGGUAUCGGGAACUAAAGUUCUUCUAGAACAUUCAGCGGGAUUCCUGGACACCCAGUCUACCCUGGAGUCCCGUCUACAACAUCCCUUUGUUCCCUUUCCCCAAAUCCGGCAAAGUUAUCGGAUUCCUGGUGAGAUAAUCCUCCCUGUGCUCAUCCACCCCUGGCUGACGUGUGACCUUUUUUGCCGGAAUCGUUGAAAGCCAUUAGCGGUUUUAUUGUCUCUGAUUGCCGACGCUUGCCAGUCGUGCCGUGGCAUUUAUCAAGCUCCUGUUCCGCUGGGCGAGGAGCACUUCCGGCGUCGGUUUAAACUCCGCAAACUAAUUUCCCUUAAUUAGAAUCAGCUCAGCCUCAACACGCCGGGCUAAUGAGCUACUAAAGCGUUUGCCAGGGCAGUCUGCAGCAAAAAGAAACACAGAACUAGCUGGCACUUGGCAAAAUGAAGAGGUAUUGAACUUUCGGGGGAAGGAAGUCAUUUCUCCGACAAGGUUUGGGGGAUUGAACCCCACAGGGAAUCCAGGGCGCUCUCCCAGGCAGUGGCCUCCUGAGGAGGAGGUGGGUGGCAGGUGGUACGUUGCUUUAACCCUGAGGACCCUGCGUCCCCAUUCCCUUCACCGUCACCUUCGUCGCCUGCUACGGCCACGUCCGAGAUGGCGUCUGACCAAUCCGCAGCCCGGAAGAAGAAAGGCAUUCCUUUCUUCUGUGAAAUCGUGGGGAAGCCGACUCGCUCCUUGGAGAAACCUCCACCGAUGGCUUCAUUUUACUGCUCAAGUAGCUUCAGGACAGAGGCUUGCCUUGGAAGCCAGGAGGUCUGCAUGCACUUGGGCAGACCACUCCACACCUUAACCUUGGGCUCCAAUUACAUCUUCAGUAGAAUAGGGAUCGUGAGACCUCCCCUGCUUUCAAGAACGAAGUUUCGUGCAGUUGAAUCUGCCCAAGAUCUGCCCCAGGACCGGAAGGUCUGAAGAAACUCCGUUUCAGAGACCGAAUUAUCCUCACUGACGUCGGGUUCUCCCCGGGCGUGCCUGGCGGAGGUGUGCUGUGUGAAGGUCAGGCCCCCGGAGAGGUGCAGCUGGCGACCAAAGAGCCAGGUGGACGCAGAGCUUUCAUCUGCAAGACGACUGAACCAGACGCCUUCUUUAACACUCAGCAAAGAACUAGCCCCCGUGGCCCAUGCCCGCAAAGAACACGGAGAAGAAAGGGGUUUUGUCUGGGACUCCAGUCCAGGGACACGAAACAAGCCAAAAACGGUCACAAAGGUGGCACCUGAACAGGUCACAUGUCAGCGAGAAAGGAGACAAGGCAACUCACAAUGGAGACAUCUCGCAAAGACCACCUUAAGCGAGUGGUCAGAAUAAACAUCGCUGGUGAUGAAGCAAACUGCCAUCACACAGUUCGUAAUGCGAAGCAAUGAGAAGUGCAUGUCACUGAGGCGGCUUUCUUGCCCAAAAUGCUCCUGGUUACUGGGGUGUCAAUACUUCUAGGCCCUUCUCUUUGACCUUAAGAGAGGCAAAUCCAGGUGCGGGGAUUCUAGAAGACAGCUGGCCUGGAUUCGUCAUUUACACACACACACACACACACACACACCAGCAUUCAUCGUACGCUUAUUUCUACUUUUCU